rnacentral:lncRNA from 1 species
AGAAUGUUGAGACUGAAGAGAUCCAAGGCUGCUGGAAAAGACUUCUUAGGAUCAGGCCUGGGAAUUCAGCCGUCAGACCCCUGGGUCCCAGAUCACACACACACACAAAAGAAAGUGGGCAGGGGUCAGCCAAGCCCCCAGGAGACCAAGAGAGCUGGGUUCUCAGCCACCUCCAGUUUCGAGGCUCUCCAAGCCGAAGAACCCUCUGGCUCCAGCUCUACUUGAAGGAGUCUCUACAAAAACUAACCAACCCGAGAACAAAUUCUUGCCCAGGGCCGAUUCCCAGAAACCCCCUCCCCAACAUCCUUUAUACCAGCGUGGUGAGCCUCCCGCCAACCACAGUUCCAACCAAUCUCAAGCCUGAGGUAGGCUUGCCAGGGCUAUGAUUGGCUGAUUGAUCCUCCCAGUCUUGGAAUGUUGGGUCCUUAACAAAGGAAUGAGGAAGGAAGGUGAGUCACCUGGGGAGGGUUUUAAAGGGCCAGGAGCAGGAGGGAAAAGGGAAAGGAGGGAAGAGCUCAGUGGGUGAGAUGCAGUGUGCUGGACCCCGAAGAUGCUGCCAUAAUUCCCUAGAGAACAGAGUAGGAAAGACAGACACUACAAGUGGGAUAGAAUUUAGAAUAUAGAGAAAACUAAAUGGGAGAGCAAAAGUAACAAACACAGGGCCUUAAUUCCCAUGGAAGGGUAAUAAAGGGUCUAGGGAAUAAUGUUGUUGGAAGUUAGAUUGAAAUAAGGACUUCCUGAAAGUGACU